rnacentral:rRNA from 1 species
GUGGGGAAUUGUUCGCAAUGGGCGCAAGCCUGACGACGCAACGCCGCGUGGAGGAUGAAGAUUUUCGGAUCGUAAACUCCUGUCGAAUGGGACGAAUGGCCUGGCCGUGAACAACGGCCGGGAAUGACGGUACCGUGAGAGGAAGCCCCGGCUAACUCCGUGCCAGCAGCCGCGGUAAUACGGGGGGGGCAAGCGUUGUUCGGAAUUACUGGGCGUAAAGGGCUCGUAGGUGGCCACCUAAGUCCGACGUGAAAUCCCUCGGCUCAACCGGGGAACUGCGUCGGAUACUGGGUGGCUUGAAUCCGGGAGAGGGACGUGGAAUUCCAGGUGUAGCGGUGAAAUGCGUAGAUAUCUGGAGGAACACCGGUGGCGAAGGCGGCGUCCUGGACCGGUAUUGACACUGAGGAGCGAAAGCCAGGGGAGCAAACGGGAUUAGAUACCCGGGUAGUCC